UGAAAAUUUUAGUCUGAAAUUUUCCUGAAACAUUUCUGAAAUUUUCCUGAAACAUUCCAGAAUUGUCUAUCUGAAUCAAGUCUGAAACAAAAGUCUGAAACAUGCCUGUAAUUGGAACAUUCCAGGCAUGUUUCAGACUUGGUGUUUCAGCCAAUUGCGAGUGAUGUUUCAGCCAAAAUUUCAGCAAUGUUUCAUACAGUUUUCAAACUAUAAGUAAGCAAGGUUUCAGAAAUAUUCAGCAAUUAUUCAGUGCCGUUUCAGCAAUUAUUCAGCACUGUUUCAGAAAUUAUUCAGCACUGUUUCAGCAAAUAUUAAGUACUGUUUCAGCAAUUAUUCAGCACUGUUUCAGCAAUUAUUCAGUGCUGUUUCAGCAAAUAUUAAGUACUGUUUCAGCAAUUAUUCAGUGCUGUUUCAGCAAAUAUUCAGUGCCGUUUCAGCAAUAAUACCCCACCUAUUCAGCAAUGUUACAGCACUUAUUCAGCAAGGAUAUGCUAGCUUUUCAUCCUGCAAUAUACUUUAAAAAAUAAUCGAGACAAAUAUAUUUCAAUUUUUAUUUUUCAUUCAAAAUAUCAAGUCUUAAAUUGUCUUUUUCAGGCACUACCUUUUUUAUAAUUUAAAUUUCCAUUUACUGUUUACUUGGUAUUACAUCCUACCGGGUCUUCCCACCUCUCUGAUUAGAAAUAGCUAGCUGUUGCAUGUUGUAGGCCUUAUAGUCCACUAUGAGGUAAUCAUUCUGAUUGUCAUAUAGAUCUAUAGGCCUUGUCUGUAUCCAACGAAUUUUUAGGAUAAUCCACUUCUUAAUUUGCUUGAAUCCAUCUGAAAUUAUACUAGCAUACAUGUACAUUGUAAACUUAACAAUGUGUUUAAUCUUAUAAAUAAUGAUCGAAGUUCAUAUAAAUUCAUGAUCUUAAUUAAUUCAACAUGGAAUGCUUCAAAUUUAUGUGAUCGAAAGUUCUAAUUUUUACAUAGUACAGGCACUUAAUAGGACUAUUAGGUUAACAUUAACACAAAAAUUCAUACCUCGAACUGCUAACAAAAUGGCGUCGAAGAUUCAGGCCAGGGAAACCAAGAUCUGGAGGUUUUCAUGCUUAUGCAUUCUCCCUCAAGGUAUUUACUAAAAUCUUUUCUUGGAUCCUUUAUACAGGAGAGUGGAAUCGCAUUAAAUUCAUCUUCACCCACUCAUACAACGAUGGCGUUAUGAUUUCAAGACAUGGCUGUUGAUCAAACGAAUUUUUUCCCGCGUGCAAUACUUCCGUCUGCGAUGAAUAUUAAACUGGUACCCUUAUCGACCUCGCCUAUUUUGUAUGUAGGUAGCAUCGAUCAGCGGGGAACCAGUUUACAAAUAUUUUAAAAAAAUAUUGUCAAAAGUAUUAUAGCUUUUAAAAUAAAGGAUAUAUUCCAAUAUUUCUCCUAUAAAUUUUUUUUAUCGAUUUUUUUAAUACUUUGUAAUUGAUUGACAACUUCCGUCAACAUCGGAAGAAAACACAGAAGAUGGAGGCCGGAGGGGCAGUGCAGUGAGAAGAUUCUGCCUUACUUAACAUUAAGUCAUUCUUAGGAGAACUUCUUAGUAGAUAAUAAGCAGGCUGACUCUUUAUAAAUUGGGAAGAGGAAGGAGUCGGAACUGUACAUUCUGGAGGGAGUGGCUUGUGCUGAGUUUUAUUUUUUAAGGAAACUUCCUUUCAACAUGUUCAACAACAGAAAAUUUGUGAAUUAACACACUGUAGAGUGCCAAAAUCUGUUGCAACAGAAUUAUAGUUGCAGAUUAAUCUAAUAGAUCUGCCUGUGAUGACCAUGAUUGGAACUAUAUCUUGUUUAGUAAAUGGACUUAAAUAAUGAUCAACUCCAAAAAGUACCAAAAACUGUUACAACAGAAUUGCUACAGUAUAGAUGCCUGUGAUGACCAUGAUCGAGACUAAUAUUUUUGAUGAAGUGUUAAAGUGUAUACACAGACACAAACAUGGGCAUAGUUAAUUUGUUUUGUAUUAUAUAAUGUCCAUGAUGGUUUGAUUUCAUUGUCAUGUCAUAUAUUAUGAUUAUAGUUUAAAUAAUUUAUCUCCAA